rnacentral:rRNA from 1 species
GACGUAGGUGGCGAACGUUAUCCGGAAUUAUUGGGCGUAAAGAGCGUGUAGGCGGCCGGAUAGGUCCGUUGUGAAAACUCGAGGCUCAACCUCGAGACGCCGAUGGAAACCAUCUGGCUAGAGUCCGGAAGAGGAGAGUGGAAUUCCCGGUGUAGCGGUGAAAUGCGUAGAUAUCUGGAGGAACACCGGUGGCGAAGGCGGCAUCCUGGACCAAUAUUGACGCUGAGGAGCGAAAGCUAGGGGGAGCAAACGGG